rnacentral:sRNA from 1 species
GCUGGUUUGGUGGCGCACAUCCGUAAUCCCAACAGCUCAGGAGGCUGAGGCAGGAGGAUCACAAGUUCAAGGGCAACCUCAGCAACUUAGCAAGGCCCUAAGCAACUCAGUGAGACCCUGUCUCCG